GACGAACGCUGGCGGCGUGCUUAACACAUGCAAGUCGAACGCUGAAGCUCAGCUUUUGUUGGGUGGAUGAGUGGCGAACGGGUGAGUAACACGUGAGUAACCUGCCCCCUUCUUUGGGAUAACGCCCGGAAACGGGUGUUAAUACUGGAUAUUCACUGGUCUUCGCAUGGGGGUUGGUGGAAAGGGUUUUUCUGGUGGGGGAUGGGCUCGCGGCCUAUCAGCUUGUUGGUGGGGUGAUGGCCUACCAAGGCUUUGACGGGUAGCCGGCCUGAGAGGGUGACCGGUCACAUUGGGACUGAGAUACGGCCCAGACUCCUACGGGAGGCAGCAGUGGGGAAUAUUGCACAAUGGGCGAAAGCCUGAUGCAGCGACGCCGCGUGAGGGAUGGAGGCCUUCGGGUUGUGAACCUCUUUCGCUCAUGGUCAAGCCGCAACAAUGGUUGUGGUGAGGGUAGUGGGUAAAGAAGCGCCGGCUAACUACGUG
rnacentral:rRNA from 1 species